GRACGCAAGUCUGAUGGAGCAAMGCCGCSUGAGKGAARAAGGUUUCGGAUCGUAAAGCUCURUKUUGGUGAAGAAGGAUAGAGGUAGUAAMUGGCCUUWUUUGAMGGUAAUCAACCAGAAAGUCACGGCUAASUACGURCCAGCAASCGCGGUAAWWMRUAGGUGGCAAGCGUUGUCCGGAUUUAUUGGGCGUAAAGCGAGCGCAGGCGGAUUGAUAAGUCUGAUGUGAAAGCCUUCGGSUCAACCGAAGAACUGCAUCAGAAACUGUCAAUCUUGAGUGCAGAAGAGGAGAGUGGAACUCCAUGUGUAGCGGUGGAAWGCGUAGAUAUAUGGAAGAACACCAGUGGCGAAGGCGGCUCUCWGGUCUGUAACUGACGMUGAGGCUCGAAAGCAUGGGUAGCGAACAGGAUUAGAUACCCUGGUAGUCCAUGCCGUAAACGAUGAGUGCUAAGUGUUGGGAGGUUUCCGCCUCUCAGUGMUGCAGCUAACGCAUUAAGCACUCCGCCUGGGGAGUACGACCGCAAGGUUGAAACUCAAAGGAAUUGACGGGGGCCCGCACAAGCGGUGGAGCAUGUGGUUUAAUUMGAAGCAACGCGAAGAACCUUACCAGGUCUUGACAUCCUUUGACCACCUAAGAGAUUAGGUUUUCCCUUCGGGGACAAAGAGACAGGUGGUGCAUGGCUGUCGUCAGCUCGUGUCGUGAGAUGUUGGGUUAAGUCCCGCAACGAGCGCAACCCUUGUUAAUAGUUGCCAGCAUUAAGUUGGGCACUCUAUUGAGACUGCCGGUGACAAACCGGAGGAAGGUGGGGAUGACGUCAAGUCAUCAUGCCCCUUAUGACCUGGGCUACACACGUGCUACAAUGGGCAGUACAACGAGAAGCGAACCUGUGAAGGCAAGCGGAUCUCUUAAAGCUGUUCUCAGUUCGGACUGUAGGCUGCAACUCGCCUACACGAAGCUGGAAUCGCUAGUAAUCGCGGAUCAGCACGCCGCGGUGAAUACGUUCCCGGGCCUUGUACACACCGMMCGUCACACCAUGAGAGUUUGUAACACSRCAAAAGUCGGUGARGUAACCUUGGAGCCAGCCCGCC
rnacentral:rRNA from 1 species